GAGCUCGUGGAGUUUGUGAAAGAGCACCAAAGACCCACUCUACGUCGCCUGCGCCCAGAAGAUAUGUUUGAAACAUGGGAAGAUGAUUUGAACGGAAUCCACAUUGUGGCAUUUGCGGAGAGGAGUGACCCAGG